rnacentral:rRNA from 1 species
CCUACGGGAGGCAGCAGUGGGGAAUAUUGGGCAAUGGGCGCAAGCCUGACCCAGCAACGCCGCGUGAAGGAAGAAGGUUUUCGGGUUGUAAACUUCUGUUCUCAGGGACGAAGAAAGUGACGGUACCUGAGUAAUAAGCCACGGCUAACUAAGUGCCAGCAGCCGCGGUAAUACGUAGGUGGGAAGCGUUAAACGGAUUUAUUGGGUGUAAAGGGCGUGUAGGCGGGGGCGCAAGUCAGAUGUGAAAACUUAGGGGUCAACCCUCAGCCUGCAUUUGAAACUGUGUUUCUUGAGUGCUGGAGAGGCAAGCGGAAUUCCGUGUGUAGCGGUGAAAUGCGUAGAUAUACGGAGGAACACCAGUGGCGAAGGCGGAUUGCUGGACAGUAACUGACGCUGAGGCGCGAAAGCGUGGGGAGCAAACAGGAUUAGAUACCCCAGUAGUC